rnacentral:rRNA from 1 species
AUACAAACACCAUCAAGCAUAACGCUAAAAAAUGAGCUUCUGCAUAAUUGACAUAAUAAGUUUAAUAAAUAAUAGAUCUAUAACACAAACUUGUUUAUUUUUUUAAAAACGAUAAAGUACAAUUUAAACCCACUGAUACAUCUGAUACACUAUUGAUAUCCACUUCAAUACACCACUAAUAUCCAUUUUGAUAUACUUGACACUCCUUUAGUAGAUACCUGAUACACGUUUAAUACACGUGAUAUACCAAAUAGUUUAAUUUAUGAUAAUUUUUUUAAUUUUUUUUAUUAAAGGUUUGAGAAAAGAAAAAUGUAUGUUUAUUGUAAAAGUAUAAGCCACAAGCAUGCACUAUUAUAACCAAAACAAAAAUAAUCUAUGGUUUAAACAUAAACUAUUACAACCAAAUUAAAUCAAUUCUACGACUGCAAUGACUUGCUUAUUGCCACCUAAAAAGUGUUACAAUUUUUUUUUUCCAGCCUUAAAGUUGAUAGAGAUCGACUUAUUUACAAAUACGUCGCAUUAGUUGCUUUAUGCACUCCUGAGUGAGUGAUAGUGAAAUAGUAUCGUGAGGGAAGGGUGAAAAGAACCCUCAUCGGGGAGUGAAAUAGAAUAUGAAACUGUAAGCUUCCAAGCAGUGGGAGGAGACCAAGACUUUGACCGCGUGCCUGUUGAAGAACGAGCCGACGACUCAUAGGCGGUGGCUUGGUUAAGGGAACCCACCGGAGCUGUAGCGAAAGCGAGUUUUCAUGGGGCAAUUGUCACUGCUUAUAGACCUGAACUUGGGUGAACUAUCCAUGACUAGGAUGAAGCUUGGGUGAAACUAAGUGGAGGUCCCGUCGCAAUCGACUGAUGUUGAAGAAUCAACGAAUGAGUUGUGGUUAGGGGUGAAAUGCCACUCGAACCUAGAGCUACUUGGUUCUCCCCAAAAUGCGUUGAGGCGCAGCAGUUGACUGGACAUCUAGGGGUAAAACACUGUUUCGAUGCGGGCCGCGAGAGCGGUACCAAAUCGAGUCAAACUCUGAAGAUUAGAUAUGAUCUCAAAAUAAUAGAGGUCAAGGUCGACCAAUGAGACGAUAGGGGAUAAGCUUCAUGUCGAAAGGGAAACAACUCGGAUCACCAGCUAAGACCCCUAAAUGACCGCUCAAUGAUAAAGGAGGUAGGGGUGCAGAGACAGCCAGGAGGUUUGCCUAAAAGCAGCCACCCUUGAAAGAGUGCGUAAUAGCUCACUGAUCGAGCACUCUUGCGCCAAAGAUGAACAGGGCUAAGCGAUCUAUCGAAGCUGUAGGAUGUCAAAAUGCAUCGGUAGGGGAGCGUUCCACUUUAGAGGGAAGCAACUGCGCGAGCAAUUGUGGACGAAGCGAAAGCGAGAAUGUCGGCUUGAGUAACGCAAACAUUGGUGAGAAUCCAAUACCCUAAAAACCUAAGAGUUCCUUUGCAAGGUUCGUCCACGGAGGGUGAGUUAGGGCCUAAGAUCAAGCCGAAAAACGUAGUUGGUAGACAACAUGUAAAUAUUCCUAUACUACCCCUUGUUGGUCCCGAGGGACGAAUGAGGCUAGGUUGGCCGAAAGAUGGUUAUUGGUUCAAGGAUGCAAGGUGCCCUUGUUUUUUUAAGGUAAAAAGGGGUAGAGAAAAUACUUCGAGCCAAUGUUCAAGUACCAGGCACUACAACGCUAAAGUAACCCAUGCCAUACUCUUAGGAAAAGCUCGAACGACCUUCAACAAAGGGUACCUGUACCCAAAACUGACACAUGUGGGUAGGUAGAGAAUACCUAGGGGCGCGAGAUAACUCUCUCUAAGGAACUCGGUAAAAUAGCCCUGUAACUUCGAGAGAAGAGGUGCCUCCUCACAAAGGGGGUCACAGUGACCAGGCCCGAGCAAUUAUUUACCCAAACACAGAUCUCCGCAAAGUCGUAAGACCAUGUAUGGGGGCUGACGCUUACCUAGUGCCGGAAGGUCAAGGAAGUUGGUGACCUGAAGACAUGGGAGCCGGCGACCGAAUCCCUGGUGAACGACGGUCGUAACUAUAACAGUCUUAAGGUAGCGAAAUUCCUUGUCGAGUAAGUUCCAACCCGUACGAAAGGCGUAACGAUCUGGACACUGUCUCGAAGAGAGGCUCGAUGAAAUAGACAUGUCUGUGAAGAUGCGGACUAUCUACACCUAGACAGAAAGACCCUAUGAAGCUUCACUCUUCCCUGGGAUUGGCUUUAGGCCUUUCAUGUGCAGCUUAGGUGGAAGGCGAAGAAGGCCCCCCCUUCGCCGGGGGGGGGGGGGGGGGGUCGUGUCCGUGUGGUGUAGCCAUCAGUGAGAUACCACUCUGGAAGAGCUAGAAUUCUAACCUUGUGCCAUGACCUACGGGCCAAGGGACAGUCUCAGGUAGACAGUUUCUAUGGGGCGUAGGCUUCCCAAAAGGUAACAGAGGCGUGCAAAGGUUUCCUUGGGCCAGACGAAGAUUCACCAUCGAGUGCAAAGGUAUAAGGGAGCUUGACUGCAAGACCCACCCGUUGAGCAGGGACGAAAGUCGGCCUUAGUGAUAUGACAGUGUCGAGUGGAAGGGUCGUCGCUCAAUGAAUAAAAGUUACUCUAGGGAUAACGGGCUAAUCUUCCCCAAGAGCUCACAUCAACGGGAAGGUUUGACACCUUGAUGUCGGCUCUUUGCCACUUGGGGCUGUAGUAUGUUCCAUGGGUUGGGUUGUUCGCCCAUUAAAGCAGUACGUGAGUUGGAUUUAGAACGUCGUGAGACAGUUUGAUUCAUAUCCGGUGUGGGCAUUAGAGCAUUGAAAGGACCUUUCCCUAGUAUGAGAGGAUCGAGAAGGACGUACCUCUGGUGUACCAGUCAUCGUGCCCACGGUAAAUGUUGGGUAGCCACGUGCGGAGCGGAUAACUGCUAAAAGCAUCUAAGUAGUAAGCCCACCACAAGAUGAGUGCUCUCCUAUUCCGACUUUCCAAGAGCCUCCUGUAGCAUAGCCGAGACAACGAUCGAUUCUUUACCCCUACGGGAAUAAAGCGACAAAAGUUUUGAGAAUUAUAUUUAAGAGAAGGUCACGACGAGAUGAGCUGUUUAUUAUCACGAUAGGUGUCAAGUGG